UGGGGGAUAUUGCACAAUGGAGGAAACUCUGAUGCAGCAACGCCGCGUGAGGGAAGAAGGUCUUCGGAUUGUAAACCUUAGUAGUCAGGGACGAAAGAAAUGACGGUACCUGAAGAGUAAGCUCCGGCUAACUACGUGCCAGCAGCCGCGGUAAUACGUAGGGAGCGAGCGUUGUCCGGAAUUACUGGGUGUAAAGGGUGCUCAGGCGGAUUUGUAAGUCAGAGGUGAAAUCUUACAGCUUAACUGUGAAACUGCCUUUGAUACUGCAAGCCUAGAGUAUGGAAGAGAGUGAUGGAAUAUCUGGUGUAGCAGUGAAAUGCGUAGAUAUCAGAUAGAACACCAAUGGCGAAGGCAGUCACUUGGUCCAUUACUGACGCUAAAGCACGAAAGCGUGGGUAGCAAACA
rnacentral:rRNA from 1 species